UACGGGGGGGGCAAGCGUUGUUCGGAAUUACUGGGCGUAAAGGGCUCGUAGGCGGCCAACUAAGUCAGACGUGAAAUCCCUCGGCUUAACCGGGGAACUGCGUCUGAUACUGGAUGGCUUGAGAUUGGGAGAGGGAUGCGGAAUUCCAGGCGUAGCGGUGAAAUGCGUAGAUAUUGGGAGGAACACCGGUGGCGAAGGCGGCUACCUGGACCGGUUCUGACGCUGAUGCGCGAAAGCGUGGGGAGCAAACAGG
rnacentral:rRNA from 1 species